CUGCGUGCCACUUUGUCUCCAGAUAUAUCUGUUUGCAAGAUUGAUUAAAAGAUAAUUGUCUGAUUUAAUGGUUUUGUCUCCUUGUGAUCUCUUCUCAUCAACCAACUCAGGGAAAUACAAUUGGUAUUUCAACAAUUUGGGGGCUCGUCCGGGAUGAGAAGGAGAUAUGAAUUCGGAAAACCACACUGACCACGACGGACACUGACGAUUCACAGCCGGCUUUGUAGGGACACUGGCCUCGAGACUGUCCGGAAAGACCGAACUCUGGCCGAGCUGGGGGACAUGGCGGUCGUGGAAACCUGCGUGUUCUGUACCCCCAGGUGGACUGGGGGAAGGAGUGAGAGAGCCAGUUCCCCCAAUGACGGUCCCCAGGGAGAGGCUCAGACAGCGGGGGCUCGGCUGACCCUAUGCUGUCCCUCCAGGUCGACAAUAGGACUUUCCCUUUCCUAGUCGAUACAGGGGCUACCUUUUAUACUCUGAAUGCUUUUCUACUCCCGCCCCUGAGUUUCCAGCAUGAAACUAGUAACACAAACUUUAUUGUGUCAAACAUGAUAUGUUCUUUUACUUUGAUAUGUAUAUUGUAUUUUGUUUAAGCUAUUUUAUAACUAUGUAAUUAUUUCACAUGCUGAUAUUGGCUUUGCAAAAGUGCUACAAUACACCUUAGCCAGACAGAGCGUGUCUUGUGUGAACAUUGCAGUCUCAACAAAUUUCCUCAACCAAUUUCACAUGCUGGUGGAUAACUAUGAAAUGCCAUGGAAAAAACUGGCACGAAUCAUACAUUUUUAUCACGUUUUCAUUAUUUAGGUAAGUAAUAAGGCACAAGGAGGUAUGGUUUAUGGCCAGCAUACCACAGCUAAGAGUUAUAAGGCACGAGAACAGUUUUUAUCUAGCCAUGCAUGUAGUUUGUUUUGUGCCCCUCCCGCCCAAAAAAACCAGUAUUGAAUGCCACAUGUUCUCUGUGGUACAGAGCAGGCCAUGGGUUUACCUCAGCAAUAAACAUUUUAAAUGAUAAUAUCUGCUUUAGACAAUGUUUCACAGCUGUUUAUAUUAUUUUGGCUAACGCCACAUUGUGCCUCAUACUUAGUUUGUACCACCAAA
ensembl:lncRNA